AAGUCGUAACAAGGUUUCCGUAGGUGAACCUGCGGAAGGAUCAUUCUUGAAUUACACCCACCACUUUCCAGUGGCAACAUUUGUGAACUGUACAUUAUCCUUGUGCGGACCGGCGGAACAUCGAGUGACACGGCUAGUCGACGCGGUAAACUCCGCAACGCUUUUGCCUGUCUCAUCUUUGCUUCGGCGCCGCACGUUAAGCACGUACCUCGAAAACUUGAAACUUAAUUAAAAUAUCUAAUCUAAAUACAACUUUUAGCAACGGAUCUCUAGGCUCUC
rnacentral:misc_RNA from 1 species